rnacentral:piRNA from 1 species
UAGGUGUGUGACCAAUUUCCUAAGAGAAUC